GCCGUCGAAUAGUUCGGCGGANCGGGGGANGGUNCUCCGGGGCCGCCCCUACCACNGUCCGUCCGCGGCCGGGCCCCGUGCCCGGUCGCCGGCCGUCGACCGUUCCGGCCGUCGGACCCCUUGGGCAACCUCGGGGCGAGGCGGUGGGACGGGAGGCGGUCGGAGCUUCUCGGAGGGACCACCCGCCUUAGGCAAGCGGGGGGAAGAUCGAGGCCAAAACAGGUCUGUGAUGCCCUUAGAUGUCCUGGGCCGCACGCGCGUUACAGUGACACGGGCAACGAGCUACCUCCCUCCCCGCAGGGGGUGGGGAAACCCGAAGCCGUGUCGCGGUGGGGACAGACCAUUGCAACUAUUGGUCUCGAACCAGGAAUUCCUAGUAGGUGCGGGUCACCAGCCCGCGCCGACUACGUCCCUGCCCUUUGUACACACCGCCCGUCGCUCCUACCGAUCGAACGGUCCGGCGAGGACUUGGGAGGCCCGGACACCCCGCGGCCGAAAUGCUACGGGGUCCGGACCGAACUCGUUCGAACCUUAUCGUUUAGAGGAAGGAGAAGUCGUAACAAGGUUUCCGUAGGUGAACCUGCNGA
rnacentral:rRNA from 1 species